GGUUUCGGCUAUCACUUUAGGAUGGACCCGCGGUGCAUUAGUUAGUUGGUGAGGUAAAGGCUCACCAAGACCGUGAUGCAUAGCCGACCUGAGAGGGUAAUCGGCCACACUGGGACUGAGACACGGCCCAGACUCCUACGGGAGGCAGCAGUAGGGAAUCUUCCACAAUGGACGAAAGUCUGAUGGAGCAACGCCGCGUGAGUGAAGAAGGUUUUCGGAUCGUAAAACUCUGUUGUUGGAAAAGAACGUAUUUGAUAGUAACUGAUCAGGUAGUGACGGUAUCCAACCAGAAAGCCACGGCUAACUACGUGCCAGCAGCCGCGGUAAUACGUAGGUGGCAAGCGUUGUCCGGAUUUAUUGGGCGUAAAGCGAGCGCAGGCGGUUUCUUAAGUCUGAUGUGAAAGCCUUCGGCUCAACCGAAGAAGUGCAUCGGAAACUGGGAAACUUGAGUGCAGAAGAGGACAGUGGAACUCCAUGUGUAGCGGUGAAAUGCGUAGAUAUAUGGAAGAACACCAGUGGCGAAGGCGGCUGUCUGGUCUGUAACUGACGCUGAGGCUCGAAAGCAUGGGUAGCAAACAGGAUUAGAUACCCUGGUAGUCCAUGCCGUAAACGAUGAGUGCUAGGUGUUGGAGGGUUUCCGCCCUUCAGUGCCGCAGCUAACGCAUUAAGCACUCCGCCUGGGGAGUACGACCGCAAGGUUGAAACUCAAAGGAAUUGACGGGGGCCCGCACAAGCGGUGGAGCAUGUGGUUUAAUUCGAAGCAACGCGAAGAACCUUACCAGGUCUUGACAUCCUUUGACCACUCUAGAGAUAGAGCUUUCCCUUCGGGGACAAAGUGACAGGUGGUGCAUGGUUGUCNUCAGCUCGUGUCGUGAGAUGUUGGGUUAAGUCCCGCAACGAGCGCCACCCUUAUUACUAGU
rnacentral:rRNA from 1 species